rnacentral:rRNA from 1 species
CAGUCGCCGCGGUAAUACGGAGGAUCCAAGCGUUAUCCGGAAUCAUUGGGUUUAAAGGGUCCGUAGGCGGUCUUGUAAGUCAGUGGUGAAAGCCCAUCGCUCAACGGUGAAACGGCCAUUGAUACUGCAGGACUUGAAUUAUUGGGAAGUAACUAGAAUAUGUAGUGUAGCGGUGAAAUGCUUAGAGAUUACAUGGAAUACCAAUUGCGAAGGCAGGUUACUACCAAUUGAUUGACGCUGAUGGACGAAAGCGUGGGUAGCGAACAGGAUUAGAUACCUCCGUAGUCCCUGUCUCUUAUAC